AUUGAACGCUGGCGGCAUGCCUUACACAUGCAAGUCGAACGGUAACGCGGGGCAACCUGGCGACGAGUGGCGAACGGGUGAGUAAUGUAUCGGAACGUGCCCAGUUGUGGGGGAUAACUGCUCGAAAGAGCAGCUAAUACCGCAUACGACCUGAGGGUGAAAGCGGGGGAUCGCGAGACCUCGCGCAAUUGGAGCGGCCGAUAUCAGAUUAGGUAGUUGGUGGGGUAAAGGCCCACCAAGCCAACGAUCUGUAGCUGGUCUGAGAGGACGACCAGCCACACUGGGACUGAGACACGGCCCAGACUCCUACGGGAGGCAGCAGUGGGGAAUUUUGGACAAUGGACGCAAGUCUGAUCCAGCCAUGCCGCGUGCGGGAAGAAGGCCUUCGGGUUGUAAACCGCUUUUGUCAGGGAAGAAAAGGUUCUCUCUAAUACAGGGGGCUAAUGACGGUACCUGAAGAAUAAGCACCGGCUAACUACGUGCCAGCAGCCGCCGUAAUAC
rnacentral:rRNA from 1 species